rnacentral:rRNA from 1 species
GAUGAACGCUGGCGGCGUGCUUAACACAUGCAAGUCGAGCGGGCAAUUUAUCUAGCACUGAUUACUUCAAAUGGAAAUCAUAAGUGUAAUCAUGAAUUUCUACCUUUAAUAAAGAAAAAAGAAAUUCAUGUACGCAAAUAGUGAUAACACAUUUUAGUGGAGUGAUGAGUGCUGGAUAAAUUGCUAGCGGCGGACGGGUGCGUAACACGUGGGUAACCUGCCCCUAUCACUGGGAUAACACACUGAAAAGUGUGCUAAUACCAGAUAAUAUAAGCUUUUGGUCAUCAUUAGCUUAUCAAAGAAUUUCGGAUAGGGAUGGGCCCGCGUCUGAUUAGCUAGUUGGUGAGGUAACGGCUCACCAAGGCAACGAUCAGUAGCCGACCUGAGAGGGUGAUCGGCCACACUGGAACUGAGACACGGUCCAGACUCCUAC